UACGAAGGGGGCUAGCGUUGUUCGGAUUUACUGGGCGUAAAGCGCACGUAGGCGGAUCGUUAAGUCGGGGGUGAAAUCCUGGAGCUCAACUCCAGAACUGCCUUCGAUACUGGCGAUCUAGAGUCCGGAAGAGGUGAGUGGAACUCCUAGUGUAGAGGUGGAAUUCGUAGAUAUUAGGAAGAACACCAGUGGCGAAGGCGGCUCACUGGUCCGGUACUGACGCUGAGGUGCGAAAGCCAGGGGAGCAAAGCGGGAU
rnacentral:rRNA from 1 species